rnacentral:rRNA from 1 species
UACGUAGGGGGCGAGCGUUGUCCGGAAUUAUUGGGCGUAAAGAGCUCGUAGGCGGUCUGUUGCGUCGGCUGUGAAAACCCGGGGCUCAACUCCGGGCCUGCAGCCGAUACGGGCAGACUAGAGUUCGGCAGGGGAGACUGGAAUUCCUGGUGUAGCGGUGAAAUGCGCAGAUAUCAGGAGGAACACCGGUGGCGAAGGCGGGUCUCUGGGCCGAAACUGACGCUGAGGCGCGAAAGCUAGGGGAGCAAACGGG